AACUGUGCAACAUAAUUAAUUCCACAAGACUUCGAAUGAAAAUUUCACUAGAGCCAUCAAUCUCAAGUGUGCAAGAUAAUCAAACAACUAUGCAAUUUAAAUUUUUGCUGUGGGAUAAUAUCAAAUUACGAAGAAAUAGGGGCCAUUCAAUAUAUCUUCCUGCGCCGGAUUCAGAAAGUAACCUCCGCCGCUGCCGCCUUCAGAAAUUCCUGCUGCCGCCGCCUUGAGAAAUUUCCGAUGCCGCCGCUUUAAGAAAUUCGCAGCCUUCAGAGUUUCACCGGAUGUUGAAUUCUCGUCCACCUCCGACGCAACGCCGCCGCCGCCUUCAGAAAUUUCUGCAACCGCCGACUUGAGAAAGUCGCCGAUACAUUCACAAAAAACAUGCCUCCGCCACCGGAUCUUACAGAGUUUCACCGGAUGUUGAAUUAUCUUCCACCCCCGAUGCAAUAAUAUUCAGAUUCUCCGAUUUUUUCCUUGCACAGAGCGCCUCUUGCACAGAAUUCGUCUGCCCCUUUUUAAAAAACCCUAGGUGAAAGUGAAAGUGAGAGUGAAAGUGGAGAACCGUGAAGUAAUGUAAUUUCUGUUUUACAUUCCUACCCUUUUAAUUUUAAUUAAAUGUGCAACAGUAGUUUGAUCUCAACCAUCUAUAUCCUUUUAAUCAAUGGUUGUUAUUAGUUCCUAGUUUUCAUCUUA
rnacentral:lncRNA from 1 species